rnacentral:other from 2 species
GUUGUGCUGCGACGUUGGUGGCUUGCCGAUAUGUUUUUUUGAUCUAUAGCUUUAAGAAUAAGGGAACCAAGAGAAUUUACAGACGGCAGUAUACCGAGCUUGAACUCGGAAACUUUAAGUCUGGUCGAGGUACCCACCUGGUUUUACCCAGGUCAAAAGCUGAGGCGACACGGCGUUGCGGUCAACCU